UUUUAACUUUUCAUAUUUAAAAAUAGGCAAAAUAUUAAUAAAUAAAAACUAAAGAACAAUUUUAAUUAUCAUGUUAGAAAGUUCACAUUUUUUAUAUUUUUGAAUGUUGUAGAAUUUUAACCCUUAUUCUUUUUCCUUUAUUUUUUUUGUAAAUAAUAUUAGUGUGAUAAAUGAUUUGAAAAAAUUGUCUGCUUUAGAGAAGGAGAAAUGGAUAAAUAAGUUUGUUAUUUAAAAUUGUCUAGACAAAAUUUUGUUCAGAACAAGUUAUUCUCUAGAAGAAAGAUUUUUGAUAUAAUGACAAUAUCAUAUCAUCACAAUCAUCUGUUAGCUAUUCAAGUACCUUGUGGACCCAAGGCGAGAUAGGCUCCCAAUCAAUCUUGCUCCUUUCUUCAAACAAAAGGGUCAACUGUUAUCGAGAUAGGCAAGAGAACGGAUAAACCAAGUUCAUAUAAAUCCAAUAUCAAUCAAACAAAUCUCUUAUUCACUUUUCCAUGAGGAUCCAGCUCAACCAAAUUAAUGCCUCCUUUACGUAGCUCAACCAAUCUUUGCGAAUUGGUUGUGGUCCUGCCAUUGACUGUGAAUAUUUUUUCCUUCGUGUAUUCAUCAAUAUAUACACCACCAAAUCAAAAAAGAUCUGGCACCAUGUCAUAAAUGUAACUCUUUAGAAAAUGUAUUAGCUAGAAUAACACAACUAAUCAUAGUAAGCAGCUUAUGAUACUUUUAAAAAAGAUCGGUAGACAAAUCAUUGAAUAAUCGGAGGAGUAUGAUUAUUUGCUACAUGGCUAAGUCCAAGUGUUCUCUCUCAACAUCCUCUAAAAUAAGAUCAACAAAAAAAUCAAUCGCUCUGAAAUUGAAAAUUUGAAAAUUUCAGUUGAGAAAAAGUAAAACAAACACAAAUUCAACUCAACUGGAUCAGAUUUAACUAUAUAUGACCAUGUCUAGCUCUUGCAGAUUUCUGAGCCGUUAGAAGUAAGUCUCGAUGAAGGAGUUCUCGAGACAAUAGGCUUUGAUUGAAUCGAUAAAGAAUUUUUGAUGUUUUGGAUUACCAGUUCCAUCUAUAUCUCUUUAGGCAUGUCAAAAUUCUUUUUACAAAUAACUCGGCGAAUGCGAUGAUAUAUAAAUAUUUUAGACAU
rnacentral:sRNA from 1 species